UUCUUUUUUGUGCCGUUUUAGACAGAAUCCCCGGGAAGGUAAUAAAUUAUAUCAUGUUUUAAAACGUUCAUAUUUAAAAAUCAAAAAGAAAGUUGUUUUUUUUCAAAAUGUAAUGUUAGAUUAUUUUAAACCCGGCAAUACAUGAGGCAAUAUUAAAACUGCGAUUGGAAAACACUUGCUCUAUGUAAUCCGUUUCAUGACUAAUUAUUAUGCUUUGGGCAAAUCUGCUUAGAAGCUCUAUAUCAUUUUUUUCUUCAAUUUAUUAUCAGAUGGCGUUUUCAAGUUGUUUGUCGCACAUUGUCUCAGGAUGAGAAUACUCUGUACGAAAAGAUAUGAAAUGCAGGACUUGAAGCGCUUAAACUGAUGAGGUGAGGUGAAAAAAAGUAAGGAAGACUAGAAGAAGUCUACCAUCAUUACUGCAGGAAGUGUAUUCAAUAAGAUACACGUGGUUGUACAUGUAUAUAUUCAAAUGUACAUGUUGAGUGUGGGUAUCCCAUGCAACCCCGAUUUUCGUCACUGGGUGAAAUGUUAAUAAAUGGUGGUAAAUUCAUUUUAAACUUAUCUAACUAACUCUCAACUUGUCUUUAUUAUUUGAAUACUUCAAGAUUAAAUUGGAAUAAGCUCAACCAAUUAAAAUCCAUGCCUCGAUCAUGCACUUGUCUUUAUUGCAUUGUUUUCUUUGUUUAUUGAGCUAUGAUUUAGUUUGUCUAAAAAAAUUGUU